GUCUACGGCCAUACCACCCUGAACGCGCCCGAUCUCGUCUGAUCUCGGAAGCUAAGCAGGGUCGGGCCUGGUUAGUACUUGGAUGGGAGAAAAAAGACUGUUCUCCUAGCGGCUGUGGACA
rnacentral:rRNA from 1 species